GGAGAGCGCGGGCCUGGUGCUUCGGCGGCCCCGGGCUUGCGGCGGGGUCGCCGGGGGGACGCCCCUCAGGCCUGCUCUUAGGAGCCGAAGUCGGGCCGGGGCGCCGUACGCGGGCAGGGCCCGGAGCUGGGCCUUCGGCUUCGUGAAAGCUCUGCUCAACAUAGGAAGAGAAAACUGACAUGGAUUUGUUAAUCACCCAGCUGAACGUGGAAGGCAUGCCCAAACACAUGCAGAGAACCCAUUGGUAAAGGAAUGUCUCCUGGAAAUGACUUUUUGAGAUGAAAUUGUUUGACCACCUCUGGAAGCAACAAUCAGGAGCAACAGAAAUCCAUGUUUGUUCAGUGGGUUAGAGGACAUGGAGUGGAAGACUUUGAGGAGGAGAUUCUGUGCUAGACUGGUCUUGCUUAGAAGACAUUUCCAGAUUAUAUCCAUUGUUUUGUAUGUGCAUUUUAUUUCUCACUGCUAUAUAUAUAGUUGACAAUAAGUACUUUUUAGAAAUAUCUAGGCUUUGUACAGAGUUCGCGUCGUGGCUCAGUGGUUAACGAAUAUGAUUAGAAACCCUGAGUUUGCGGGUUCGAUCCCUGGACUUGCUCAGUGGGUUACAGAUCCAGCGUUGCCGUGAGCUGUGGUGUAGAUUGAAGACGCGGCUCGGAUCCCACGUUGCUGUGACUCUAGUGUGGGUUGGCGGCUAUAGCUCCGAUUCGACCCCUAGCCUGGGAACCUCCAUAUGCUUCCGGGGGAUCAGCCCUAGAAAAGGCAAAAAG
rnacentral:lncRNA from 1 species